GGUAGCCAGGGAGGGCCGCGCGGGCUAGUGGCGUGGGGCGGAGUGGCCAGCUUAGGGCCUGAGGGGGCCUUAGGGGAGCUUUAGGGAGCCUUAGGGUUAGGGCAGCUUUAGGGGGAGCCUUAGGGUUAGGGGAGCCUUAGAGGGAAGCUCUAGGGAAGCCUUAGGGUUAGGGCAGCUUUAGGGGGAACUUUAGGGGAGCCUUAGGGUUAGGGGGGCCUUAGGGAGCAGAGGAGGGCGAUGGCAGAGUUAGACGAGGCUGGGGCCCUCGGGGUCCCAGGGGGAGGAAGGCUGAGGGGGAGGGUAGAUCUGGGGAAAGCUUCGUUGACAGGAGCCGCAGCCACGGGGGAGGCCAGGCCUCGCCGCUGCCUGCGGGCGAGGGGCCCGGCCUCCAGGAGAGAGAGGCCCCGUGGGCCGAGCCGCAGUGCCCGGCCGGAGGGAGGCAGAGGAUGAGCUGGAGGAGACGGUCUCGCCACCCCGCUGGAGGCCCGGGUGCCCUGAGUGCUGAGGAAGGGAGGAAGGCCGGGGGGCCGGGAGGGCUGACCUUGACCUUGUCACCAGCAGCCCCUUUUCUUCCAGACCAGGGUGUGAGCUCGCCCGGGCGCAGAGGAGGCCUGGUCUUGUGGAAAUUGAACUUGGCCUCGCGGGGCUGACGGCUGGGGCCCAGGGUGGUAUGUAACGGGCCCGGCCGGCGGAGCCCGGUCUGGGUGAGGCAGGCCCAGUCCAGUGAGGGUGGUGCAGGAGUGAGAUGGAGGAGUAGGUGCGGCGGCUGGUAAGGUGCCUCACGGCUGCUGAGCAGAGGCCGCGUGUGUGGACAGCGCUGACCCCGCUUUGUUUUCCAGGUGGCAGAGCUCCCCUCUGGACUCCCUCUAGGUUCUCCUGUGACUCCUCUGCCCCUCCUCCUCCUCCCUUUAACUCUCAAGGUUAUCCCUUCACUUAGGCCUUGCUUCUGGUAAUCUGGUAAGCCCGGGACGUCGUCACGUCCCUGUUGGAGUCGGUAUUGCUGGUAACCUUGACCGAGAGGUUGGGGUGGGGCGAGUGGGUUGCUUGCCGGUGGAGAGGGUGGGGUUGAACGUGCACCCUUGGCUGGGCCCGCAGCGCUGGUACCAGCUGAGAGGCACACAGGGGCCUCAUGGACCGUGGUUUGUAACCAGAGUGUUCAUCUCGGCGACCAGAUGGCACCAGGAGACAUGGAGGCCCUGGCCAGUGUGAGGCGAGGCAGAGCCGCAGGGGAGGCCCUGGAGGAGAGAGCGCGCCUAAGUUGAUGGCUGCAGAUUGCAUUUCCAGUCUUAGGAGGAGGAAGUUCUCCGCUGGCAUGUCUCCAGGCCUUGCUCGGGAAGCCCCGUGUGCAGGAGGCCAUCCUUUAAGGGUUUCAGAUGAGCUGCUGAGGGUGGCAAUCGUAAAGUCCGAGUCAGAUGCAUCCAGGCCACCAGCAGAUGCGUUUAUUUGCUUUUUGAUCUUGGAGCACCAAUCCCGGGCACGUGAGUGCCAGCAGGCACCCCUCCUUUUUUGGGGUGGUUUUCAGAUGCUGCAUCUUCUAUAUUGAGCCUCCUUGUCAUGCUAGUUCUCUGCUACGAACCUUGCUUCCAGAAGAUUCUUAAGCUCUAGAACAUGUUGAUGUUGAUGUCGAAACGCAGAGUGAUGCCUUGUAGAUGGAACUUGCAGAUGGAGCCCAGUGAUCCUCUCGCCUACCCACCCACCCACCCACCUGUGCUUUGGUCGGAGGAAUUAGUGUGAUGAUGGAACUGUGGGGAAUGUUCAAGUUUGAAUGCCUUAGGCAAAGGCCUGGAAGAAGCAAGCUGGGGUGGGUGAUUGGGUUGUGCUGCAGUCUGGUGGGUUACAAGUCGGUCAUGCCCAAAUUCUGUCAGAAAUGGCAGGUGUAGUUUGGGCAUUUCCAUUGCCUCACAGGGUACCAAGGGGAAUGGGCGGGUACUGGAGGUGGUAUUUGGUUCAUCUUGCUGUUUUUUAACUUGAAUUCUACCUGAUUGGAUUUCACAAUAAUCUUGGUAUUCAAAUGGGAGGAGCCUGAGGGGGAGAGGGUUGUAAGGGUAGGGGCACUGGUAUUGGGGGAGAGGGGUGAAGGAAGGGAAGAGG